rnacentral:rRNA from 1 species
UGGGGAAUAUUGGACAAUGGGCGCAAGCCUGAUCCAGCAAUGCCGCGUGUGUGAAGAAGGCCUGCGGGUUGUAAAGCACUUUCGGUGGGGAGGAAGGCCUGAUGGUUAAUAGCUAUCAGGAUUGACGUUACCCACAGAAGAAGCACCGGCUAACUCUGUGCCAGCAGCCGCGGUAAUACAGAGGGUGCGAGCGUUAAUCGGAAUUACUGGGCGUAAAGGGUGCGUAGGCGGUCCAUCGCGUCGGGAGUGAAAAGCUGGGGCUCAACCCCAGUCCUGCUUCCGAUACGGGUGGACUAGAGGUAUGCAGGGGAGAACGGAAUUCCUGGUGUAGCGGUGAAAUGCGCAGAUAUCAGGAGGAACACCGGUGGCGAAGGCGGUUCUCUGGGCAUUACCUGACGCUGAGGAGCGAAAGCGUGGGGAGCAAACAG